GACGAACGCUGGCGGCGUGCUUAACACAUGCAAGUCGAACGGAAAGGCCCUGCUUUUGUGGGGUGCUCGAGUGGCGAACGGGUGAGUAACACGUGAGUAACCUGCCCUUGACUUUGGGAUAACUUCAGGAAACUGGGGCUAAUACCGGAUAGGAGCUCCUGCUGCAUGGUGGGGGUUGGAAAGUUUCGGCGGUUGGGGAUGGACUCGCGGCUUAUCAGCUUGUUGGUGGGGUAGUGGCUUACCAAGGCUUUGACGGGUAGCCGGCCUGAGGGGGUGACCGGCCACAUUGGGACUGAGAUACGGCCCAGACUGCUACGGGAGGCAGCAGUGGGGAAUAUUGCACAAUGGGCGGAAGCCUGAUGCAGCAACGCCGCGUGCGGGAUGACGGCCUUCGGGUUGUAAACCGCUUUCGCCUGUGACGAAGCGUGAGUGACGGUAAUGGGUAAAGAAGCACCGGCUAACUACGUG
rnacentral:rRNA from 1 species